rnacentral:rRNA from 1 species
GUGAAUACAUAUCAUAUCAGAAGGCACACCCGGAGAACUGAAACAUCUUAGUACCCGGAGGAAGAUAAAGAAAAUUCGAUUCCCUUAGUAGCGGCGAGCGAAACGGGAAGAGCCCAAACCUACAAGCUUGCUUGUUGGGGUUGUAGGACACUCUAUACGGAGUUACAAUGGACGACAUUAGACGAAUCAUCUGGAAAGAUGAAUCAAAGAAGGUAAUAAUCCUGUAGUCGAAAAUGUUG